GACGAAGGGGGCAAGCGUUGUUCGGAAUUACUGGGCGUAAAGGGCGCGUAGGCGGUUCUUUAAGUCAGGCGUGAAAGCCCUGGGCUCAACCUGGGAGUGGCGCUUGAUACUGGAGGACUAGAGAGUGGGAGAGGUUGGUGGAAUUCCCAGUGUAGAGGUGAAAUUCGUAGAUAUUGGGAAGAACACCGAUGGCGAAGGCAGCCAUCUGGACCGACACUGACGCUGAGGCGCGAAAGCGUGGGGAGCAAACAGG
rnacentral:rRNA from 1 species